CCUUUUGCAGCAGCUUUAGUGUUGAGUGUGAAAUAUCCAUUUUUGCAACAAUAGACCAAUUGACAAAGGAAUUUGGAGGGAAUGUUUUAAACAACAUUUUUGACUUAUCAGCUAUGUUGAAACUAGUUAGGAGGAGAACAUAUCAAAAGUCCCCAUUUUAUGAUGCAUUUUUGGAGAGCUAUGACCCAUGAAAGAGCAAAACAUUGGAUAAAAACCUGCUAUUUUAAGAAUUACACACCUUCAAGAGCGAAUAUCUGGGGAACUGUUGGGAAUAUCACAAAAUUUCACUAAACAAAAAGUGUAGAGAAUGUAUCAAGCUUCAUUUUUGAAUAGUUAGUUAUGUCGGUUGAAUGCAUUGUUUUCAAGAUAUGAGCGUGGAAGCAAAACGCUGAAAAAUGCAACUUUUAAACCUUUUUUAGGUGGUUUGGUUUGAAUCAUCAUGACUGGCUUUCUGAUGAACCUAUGCGACGCCAUUAAGGAAUGGCUUACUACUGUAUGGUCGACUGGAUCUGUACUUCCUGUAUUUACUGAUCCGGAGACCACUGAAUAGUAUCGUGUUGCACAGAGGUUAAGAGUGCGUUGCAAGCAUCUGUAUGCUUUAACCAGUCGUCUGAAACAACCAUAAUCUUUUAGGGGUGUAAAUGGAGAUCGAAGUGUAAAAUUCGCCUUGCUUUUCUGGACGAUAUUCCAAGUGGAGCUGGAUGUUUCCGCACAGAGCGCGAUAGGGAUUGUUCAAUGGACGCCCUCACUGCCGCGAUAUUUUCAGGUACCCCACCUUUUUUAGGUUGCCCAGCUUGUUUUCUAGGAAGUGCAGAUCCUUUCGACCAGAUCAGGAACUGUCAUGAAGAUUCAAACCAAACCGCCUACAAAAAGCAUCUGCGUCGCUACCACAUUGUCAUUGUUUUUAAAGAACGUUCCAACAAUAAAGCCUCGAUGCUCACCUUAACACUGCAUGAUGAACAUGAAUACUUAAAAUGACAUAGUUUCCGCCAUAUAACACCACCACUCUUAUUCCACUAUUCACCUGCGCACUCUUCACUGAUUUGAAAGUAGGGAGUCCAUUCUGACCAAACUUUUAGGCUUAUCAAAACAGGGAAUAUGUCGGCCAUGAUAGCUAAGACAAGUAAGGCUGCACUCUUUAGUCAGCUAGUGCUCUAUACGAUACGUGCAAAAUGGAUGCAACCCUUAGAAAUAAAAAUCAAUAUAAAUUUCAUGUGGAUUGAGAGUAGAUUAAUCUCUAGUAUGAUGCAUUCAAUCUUUUUAAUUAUUACUUCUUCUACUUAACUCGUUCUUCUACUAAUACGUUUUUCUUUUUAGAAAUAAAAAUGCCAUUUAUGUCUGCCUGUCACCACAUAGAAAGCUUUCCGAAAGACACAAUUCCUUGGUGAACCUAUUGUACUGCAUCAUAAAAGCGGAAGAAGGAGGUGAAAUCAACUUGCCGACUGUUUAGCUGUGGUAAAAGCUAUCAAAUCCAUGAAUCCAGGAACCUAUUCAAUUCUCAAGAACAUCUCUGUCAUAAUGUGGUCGGACCCGUUCACCAAGGAAGGUCGCAGUAAUCAAAGCAUUCAUUUUACUCCUAUUAUCAAGUAAUUGAAAAGCUUUGAGGAUCGAAAUAAUUUCUUGAAAUAUGUUAACUAUUUCAUGAUUCAAUGUGAUUUCUUGACUAUUGACAUUUUAAAUUAUGGGACAUCAUGCAAUUUUAGGCAUUUGCCUGAUGCAAAUGGUUGAGCAUUGCCCAUAUAUUGUGAUGAAGAAAAAUUUGUUUCAAAUCACUUCAAUGAAUAUUAAGAUUCAAGCAUUCUGAUUAUACAGAUUCAAGCAUGGGAAGCGGACAAAUUCUGACAUUUUACAACAUUUUACAGGCACAUAGAAGACUGGCUUAUGAUGGCGAAAGACUUUUGAAGGCGGUUACCUUGAUUGGGAUCAUAUCUAUUAAACCUUCGAAUCCUGCACUCAAAAGUAAAUGUGAUACCAUUCAAAUGGAAUAAGAUUGAUUUGAAUUGGAAUUUGUUAUUCCUGUAUCAUAGUGCAUUUUUCUACUAGUUACCCUACGUAUUGUACAUUAUUGUAAUAAAGCACUAGCUGUUCCAUAGUAGAAGUCUUUGAAAUAAAAGGUUUCUUUUUCAAGUUA